rnacentral:rRNA from 1 species
AUGAACGCUGGCGGCGUGCCUAAUCCAUGCCAGUCGAGCGAACAGACGAGGAGCUUGCUCCUCUGACGUUAGCGGCGGACGGGUGAGUAACACGUGGAUAACCUACCUAUAAGACUGGGAUAACUUCGGGAAACCGGAGCUAAUACCGGAUAAUAUAUUGAACCGCAUGGUUCAAUAGUGAAAGACGGUUUUGCUGUCACUUAUAGAUGGAUCCGCGCCGCAUUAGCUAGUUGGUAAGGUAACGGCUUACCAAGGCAACGAUGCGUAGCCGACCUGAGCGGGUGAUCGGCCACACUGGAACUGAGACACGGUCCAGACUCCUACGGGAGGCAGCAGUAGGGAAUCUUCCGCAAUGGGCGAAAGCCUGACGGAGCAACGCCGCGUGAGUGAUGAAGGUCUUCGGAUCGUAAAACUCUGUUAUUAGGGAAGAACAAAUGUGUAAGUAACUAUGCACGUCUUGACGGUACCUAAUCAGAAAGCCACGGCUAACUACGUG